rnacentral:miRNA from 1 species
UGCACUUUUUGGUAAGAAGAUGUUAACGAAAGUUGUUCGUCUUGAUGAGGGCUACAACUCUGCUUAAUAUCCUUUUAACAAAUUAUGCGUAUUUAAGGAGAUAGCGCAGCGCAUGCGCAGAACGUAUCUCCUUACCUUUGCACUUUUUGGUAAGAAGAUGUUAACAAAAGUUUUCGUCAUGAUGAGGGCUACAACUUUGCUUAAUAUCCUUUUAACAAAUUAUGCG